AGGCAGCACUAAGAUCUAGUAAAACAAGUACAGAGACAAGUACUUUGUCUGCAUCAGUUAGAAGGUUGUUAGUAAUUUUCACCAGUGCCUUCUCUGUACUAUGAUUCAUUCUAAAUCCUGACUGAAAAUCCUCAAAUAAACUAUUGCUGUGUAGGAAAUCACAUAAGUGAUUAGCAACUACCUUCUCAAGGAUCUUGUCUCUCUGUGAUC